AACAAUCCAUAUCUUUAACUAAUCAUCAAACAUAUCAUUUUAUAAGACAUAUAUACAUGCGCAUAACACUCUAAAACAAAGCCAUUUCUAAAUUCAAAUACCAAAUCAUGGCUAACCCAAUUCAUUAACUAAUUUAUAAAAAAAAAAGCAAUUUGUAUGUUAUGCAUAUGCUCACAUUUACUUAGGUUAAGCUUUUCACACACCUUAUUAGGCAUACAAAAAAAAAAAAACCAUAAGCAAGCUUCAUUAUACAACCAAAUACAUUUGUAAACAUUACCAACCUAUGUGCAUUAUACCAUAGUCACGUUAAACAAUUUUUGAACAUAAGCAACAAUUUUAAGUACACCAAUUCGCAUGCUAAUUAUCAUGCCCCAACACA
rnacentral:lncRNA from 1 species